ensembl:lncRNA FCGR1BP Fc gamma receptor Ib, pseudogene
AAUUUGGCUCUGGAGCCACCAGCAGAACCUCUUCAAUAUCUUGCAUGUUACAGAUUUCACUACUCCCACCAGCUUGGAGACAACAUGUGGUUCUUGACAACUCUGCUCCUUUGGGUUCCAGUUGAUGGGCAAGUGGACACCACAAAGGCAGUGAUCACUUUGCAGCCUCCAUGGGUCAGCGUGUUCCAAGAGGAAACCAUAACCUUGCACUGUGAGGUGCUCCAUCUGCCUGGGAGCAGCUCCACACAGUGGUUUCUCAAUGGCACAGCCACUCAGACCUCGACCCCCAGCUACAGAAUCACCUCUGCCAGUGUCAAUGACAGUGGUGAAUACAGGUGCCAGAGAGGUCUCUCAGGGCGAAGUGACCCCAUACAGCUGGAAAUCCACAGAGAGUCUCACUCUGUUGCCCAGGCUGGAAUGCAGUGGUGCGAUCUUGGCUCACUGCAACCUCUGACAGAGCUGUUUCAACAAGACACUUUGGGUAAUUCAAGCAGAAGUGUUUCAUGGUUCAAGUGACAACAAAAGGACUAGGGCUGGGAAGAGUCCAUUUUCUUUACCUCUACACAGACUCUAGGACACUCAGCAUCAGUGACUUACUGAGAAUCAUAUCUUUUUUACAUUACAUUUUAAUGUGAAUUUUCAUUGAAAUAUAACUUAUGUACAAUAAGCCAUAAAUGUACGCCACAGUAAAUUUUUUCAAAGUAAACAGCAUCCAGAUCUAUUUUAGACAUUUCCAGCACCUCAGAAACUCCUUCUUGCCCAUUUCUAGUCCACCCCUGACACUGACUUCCAGCACCAUAGGUUUUUUGCCUGUUUUUGAACUUCAUAUAAAGGGCUACGGUAUGGGACAGGAUGUACUCUUUUGUGUCUGGUUUAUUUUUCUCAACAUUAUGAUUGUGAACUGUAUACAUGUUGUAAAUUGAAGUUCAUUUGUUCUUAUUACUGUAUAUUUCAUAUUUUCCCAUUCUGCUGAGGGGCUCGGGUUGCUUCUGGUUUUGACCACUUACAAAUAGUAAUGCUGUGGAUAUUUUUGUUUACAUGUUUCAAAUAUUUUCUACCAUUACUAAUGUUCAACAGUAUCUGAUGGAGGUAUGUUACAAUUUCCCACUCUUUUGGAUAUACAAAUGCAAAUUAAGCAUUUCCCUAAUGACUAUGAUAUUGACCAUUUUUCACAUUUAUUACCUAUUUGGGUAUCCUUUUUUGUAAGGUCUUUUUGAUAAUUUUUCUAUUGUCUGUCUUUUUCUUACUGACUUAUAGGAGUUAUUUAUAUAUUCUGGAUAUAAGUCCUUUUUCAAGAGUCUUAAAUAUCUUCUCCCACUCUGUGGCUUUUCUUUUCACUAUAAUAUUAAAGUUUUGUUUGUUUUCAAUGAA